GUCUGUAGGUGAUUUUUUAAGAUCGUCGUCAAAUUUCGAGGCUCAAUCGUGGACAGGUGGUGAAAACUAUCAAGCUGGAGUAUAAUCGGGGCAAAGAAAAUUCUGGUGAGGCGUUGAAAUGCAUAGAGAUCAGAAAGAACACCAACGGUGAAAACAUUCUAUUGGGCGACACUUACACAGAGAGACAAAAGCUAGGGGAGCAAAUGAGAUUAGAUACCCCAGUUUCCAAGUCGUAAACGAUGGAUACUAGGUGUUGUGCAUAUCGACCCAUGCAAUGUUAUAGCUAACACGUUAAGUAUUC
rfam:Solanum lycopersicum cultivar Heinz 1706 chromosome 2, whole genome shotgun sequence.